GACGAACGCUGGCGGCGUGCUUAACACAUGCAAGUCGAACGGUGAAGCGCCUUCCUUUUUGGUGGGUGUGGAUGAGUGGCGAACGGGUGAGUAACACGUGAGUAACCUGCCCCCUUCUUCUGGAUAACCGCAUGAAAGUGUGGCUAAUACGGGAUAUUCUGGGUCUGUCGCAUGAUGGGUCUGGGAAAGAUAUUGUUUCGGUGGGGGAUGGGCUCGCGGCCCAUCAGCUUGUUGGUGGGGUGAUGGCCUACCAAGGCGGUGACGGGUAGCCGGCCUGAGAGGGUGGACGGUCACACUGGGACUGAGACACGGCCCAGACUCCGACGGGAGGCAGCAGUGGGGAAUAUUGCACAAUGGGCGCAAGCCUGAUGCAGCGACGCCGCGUGAGGGAUGGAGGCCUUCGGGUUGUGAACCUCUUUCGCCAGUGAAGCAGGCCUGCCUCGUUUGUGGGUGGGUUGACGGUAGCUGGAGAAGAAGCGCCGGCUAACUACGUG
rnacentral:rRNA from 1 species